GAUGAACGCUAGCGGCAGGCCUAAUACAUGCAAGUCGAACGGUGUCUUCGGACAUAGUGGCGCACGGGUGCGUAACACGUAUGCAACCUACCUUACAUUGGGGGAUAGCCUUUCGAGAGGGAGGUUAAUACCGCAUAAGACAGUAGCUGGGCAUCCAGCAGCUGUUAAAGAUUGAUCGAUGUAAGCUGGGCAUGCGUCCAAUUAGCUAGUUGGUGAGGUAACGGCUCACCAAGGCAAUGAUUGGUAGGGGAACUGAGAGGUCAAUCCCCCACACUGGCACUGGGAUACGGGCCAGACUCCGACCGGAGGCAGCAGUAGGGAAUAUUGGGCAAUGUAAGCAAGUCUGACCCAGCCAUGCCGCGUGCAGGAUGAAGGCGUUAUGCGUUGUAAACUGCUUUUAUACAGGAAGAAACGACUCUUGCGAGAGGCAUUGACGGUACUGUAUGAAUAAGCACCGGCUAACUCCGUGCCAGCCGCCGCAGUAACAC
rnacentral:rRNA from 1 species